AUGCAAUGUUUCUGCUACAAAGGACAAAUAGCUCAGUAAAACUAGGCUCAUUUGACCUCGCGAUGCGAUAACCUGGAGAAAUUCAGGCUAAGGGCGAGGAUAAGGCCUAGGACUAUCAGCUAGUUGGUAGUGUAACGGACUACCAAGGCGACGACGGUUAACGGGACACGGGAGUGUGAUACCGGAGAGGGAGCCUGAGAGACUGCUCCCACGUCCAAGGACGGCAGCAGGCGCGAAAAUUGUCCACUCUUUGCAGGAGACAGUUAUGAAAAGUAAAAAAGAUAGGUCUUGUAAAGAGAGAUUCUAAAAUUGGAGGGCAAGUUUGGUGCCAGCAGCCGCGGUAAUACCAACUCCAAGAGUGUGUAUGAGAGUUGCUGCAGUUAAAAGGUCCGUAGUCGUUAGUCGAAAUAGGACGUAGGGUCCAGAUUCAAUGUGGAGGGGCUGAUGGGGGCCGCAGUAUACAAGGGCGAGAGAUGAAAUGCCAAGACCCCUUGUGGACUCAGCGAGGCGAAAGCGGCGGCCCGGUAAGUGCUCGGUGAUCAAGGACGAAGGGUAGAGGAUCGAAGGUGAUUAGAUACCGCUGUAGUUCUACCAGUAAAAGAUGCCGACUAUCCUGGCGUGCGGCGUAGGCGGUUCGCCGCCCGUCGGCGCAUGCCGGGAACAGAGAAAUCGAUAAGUGUUCGGGCUCUGGGGAUAGUAUGCUCGCAAGAGUGAAAAUUAAAGAAAUUGACGGAGCUACACCACAAGGAGUGGAUUGUGCGGCUUAAUUUGACUCAACGCGAGGAAACUUACCAAGCCCUUCCCGUCCUAAGACACGAGGGCGCGAGGAGUGGUGCAUGGUCGUUGGAAAUUCAUGGGAUGACCUUGAGCUUAAAUGCUUGAAUGAGUGAGACCCCGUACACCGGCUGCGCUGAGCAGCAGGGAGGUGGGGCGAUAACAGAUCAGUGAUGCCCUUAGAUGGCUUGGGCUGCACGCGCAAUACAAUGGGGCACGUCGCGACAGAUGGACACGCCCCGAGAUGGAUUGCCGAUUGUAAGUUCGGCAUGAAAGCGGAAUUCCUAGUAGACACGUAUUAUCAAUGGGUGUCGAA
rnacentral:rRNA from 1 species